rnacentral:rRNA from 1 species
CACGUGAGUAACCUGCCCUUGACUCUGGGAUAAGCCUGGGAAACUGGGUCUAAUACCGGAUAUGACCGUCCAUCGCAUGGUGGUUGGUGGAAAGCUUUUGUGGUUUUGAAUGGACUCGCGGCCUAUCAGCUUGUUGGUGGGGUAAUGGCCUACCAAGGCGACGACGGGUAGCCGGCCUGAGAGGGUGACCGGCCACACUGGGACUGAGACACGGCCCAGACUCCUACGGGAGGCAGCAGUGGGGAAUAUUGCACAAUGGGCGCAAGCCUGAUGCAGCGACGCCGCGUGAGGGAUGACGGCCUUCGGGUUGUAAACCUCUUUCAGUAGGGAAGAAGCGUAAGUGACGGUACCUGCAGAAGAAGCGCCGGCUAACUACGUGCCAGCAGCCGCGGUAAUACGUAGGGCGCAAGCGUUAUCCGGAAUUAUUGGGCGUAAAGAGCUCGUAGGCGGUUUGUCGCGUCUGCCGUGAAAGUCCGGGGCUCAACUCCGGAUCUGCGGUGGGUACGGGCAGACUAGAGUGAUGUAGGGGAGACUGGAAUUCCUGGUGUAGCGGUGAAAUGCGCAGAUAUCAGGAGGAACACCGAUGGCGAAGGCAGGUCUCUGGGCAUUAACUGACGCUGAGGAGCGAAAGCAUGGG